rnacentral:rRNA from 1 species
AAACGUAGGUGGCGAGCGUUAUCCGGAUUCAUUGGGCGUAAAGAGCUUGUAGGUGGUGCGAUAAGUUGGACGUGAAAACUUCGGGCUUAACUUGGAGAGGCCGUUCAAUACUGUUGUGCUAGAGGGCGUCAGAGGGAAGUGGAAUUCCUGGUGUAGCAGUGAAAUGCGUAGAUAUCAGGAGGAACACCCGUGGCGAAGGCGGCGUCCUGGGACGUACCUGACACUGAGAAGCGAAAGCUAGGGGAGCAAACGGGAUUAGAAACCCCGGUAGUCCUAGCUGUAAACGAUGGAUGCUAGGUGUGAGUGGAUCUAACCCCGCUCGUGCCGUAGCUAACGCGUUAAGCAUCCCGCCUGGGAACUACGAGCGCAAGCUUAA